CACCCACGCCACGAGUCAGGAGACCCAGCCAGGUGUGAAAUGCUACAGGGAGACUAGGGCUUCCCAGCACCGAGGGGAAGGACCGGGGCACGUUGCCGGGUCAGUCCCUGAAAUGAACUUAAUACCUUUGUGCCAUUAACGGUCUGGCCUUUCAGACCCUCGAUAUGGGCCUCCUGGAAUCAUUCAAGAGGGAGACUCCCACCUAAUAGGCUGGGCUGUCACUGCCAACCCACUCCGUGCCCGGGGCAGGACCCUGGGACCCUCAUUGAGAGCCAUUGGCUUAACCAGGAGAAUCAUGCCCUAAAGUGCACCUUCUUCCGAUCCAUCACUAUGGUCCUUGCCAUCCCUGCCUGUUUUCCAGUGCACUGACCGUCCAUGGAAAUCUUCACCGUCUUCCUCCAGAUACACCUAAAUGUAGCCCUUAUUAUGCUGAGAAUACCUGGCCUACCUCAGGAAGCUGCCAUUCCAACCCACCUGGUUCAAGCUGCUUACGUUAUCGAGGGUUGAAGAACCCAAACCAUCCACAUUUGCCAAAGGUCUGGAAGAGAGGCAUAGCUGGAGAAGGAAGAUCAAGGGAGUGUGACUUCAAGAAGAGCAUGCGGUUGUGUCAGUCAAGAAGAAUGCCAUGCCCUCCUCAACAGCCACACCCUUUUGCAUUUGGCCUGAUGGGAUGUUACUCAUCCAGACAGCAAACCCAUCACAAAGGGAAGAAAGGCUCUGGCAGCCAAGUUCACUAAGAAGAAAGAAGGACAUAUCAAGAGGAUUUAAAAGGUUCACAAUACUGACUUGGAUUUAUUAUUUAUUUAUUUAUUUAUUUAUUUAUUUAUUUUUGAGAUAGGGUCUCACUCUGUGCCCCAGGCUGGAGUACAGUGGCAUAAUCAUGGCUCGUGGCAACCUCAAUCUCCUGGGCUCAAGCGAUCCUCUUGCCUCCGGCCUCCCUAAUAGCUGGAACUACAGGUGCACACCACAUGCCCAGAUAAUGUUUGUAUUUUUUGUAGAGACAAGGUCUCGCUAUGUUGCCCAUGCUGGUCUGGAACUCUUGGUCUCAAGUGAUCCCUGCCCUUGGCCUCCCAAAGUGAUGGGAUUACAGGCGUGAACCACUGUGCACAGCCCCCAAUACUGACUUGUUUAUGCUUUUUACUGUUGUGGUUUUGUUUUUGCUUACAUUUACUGUAAUCAACCUUAUUUAGUAUCAUAAAACUGUAUGGUGUAAAUAUUAUGUUGUCUAAGGUAUACAAGACCAAAAGUAGAGGUUGAAUAGGGUAGAUGCUCUGAUUUUUUUAUAUUACCCUUUUUAAUAAAAAAAAAUACUAUCAAUUGAAUAAUUCCAAUUCCAGUUCUUCCUUGAGAAAAGGAAACUGGUAGCUUUUUUGACUUAGUGCUAUUUGGAAGCUUUGUGCCUUUCUUUGCUUCAUGAAGAGAUCAGAGCAAGAUGUGAGACAAUUCCAUUCAGUCUUCUACAAUGUCACCCUGAG
rnacentral:lncRNA from 1 species